AGUGAACGCUGGCGGUAGGCCUAAUACAUGCAAGUCGAACGGCAGCACAGAGGAGCUUGCUCCUUGGGUGGCGAGUGGCGGACGGGUAAGGAAUACAUCGGAAUCUACUCUGUCGUGGGGGAUAACGUAGGGAAACUUACGCUAAUACCGCAUACGACCUACGGGUGAAAGCAGGGGACCUUCGGGCCUUGCGCGAUUGAAUGAGCCGAGGUUGGAUUAGCUAGUUGGCGGGGUAAAGGCCCACCAAGGCGACGAUCCGUAGCUGGUCUGAGGGGAUGAUCAGCCACCCUGGAACUGAGACACGGUCCAGACUCCUACGGGAGGCAGCAGUGGGGAAUAUUGGACAAUGGGCGCAAGCCUGAUCCAGCCAUACCGCGUGGGUGAAGAAGGCCUUCGGGUUGUAAAGCCCUUUUGUUGGGAAAGAAAUCCAGCUGGCUAAUACCCGGUUGGGAUGACGGUACCCAAAGAAUAAGCACCGGCUAACUUCGUGCCAGCCGCCGCAGUAA
rnacentral:rRNA from 1 species